AUGGAACGUCACAGAGUGCUCUUACACGAACCUAGAUGGUAGCGCCCACUACACACCAGGCUCUACGGUGUAGCCUAUUGCUCCCAGGCUACAAACCUGAACAGCAUGUUACUGUACUGAAUACUGCAGGCAAUUGUUACACAACGAGAUAAACUGAUUACUCAGAACACUGCAGACAUGUAUUUUACUGAAUAGAAAUGAAUCACCUAAGGGAACAAGAACUCACUACUCGGAGGAAAGAUUGCAAAUCUACAUUAAUGAGUUUCUAGAGAAGAGUGUGAAGAUCGUGGUUCAUCUAUUCUCUGGCAAAUUUCUGUCAAAUCACCACUGUGCUCCAUAUGUGCUCUUCCUUACAUCAUUUUCCAUCUCAAAGGAAUUUUUUAAAUUCUACAUAGAAGAGUUAACAUCACUCUUUAUAAUAGCUGUGAAAUGCCAUGCUAAUCUUCAAUCACAGUUUUCACUGUCUUGAAAAGUCUUGGAUUUAAAAAGUCAAUUAAAUGAAAGUAAAUAAAUGAUUGAAAACAAAUCUAUCAACUCUACUGGGAAAAAAAAUUAAAAAUAUAUACGUUGCUAUCAGUAAUUACUUUAAAUGUAAAAUGAUUAAAUUCUUUAAUCAAAACAUAGGUAUUGGAGGAACAGAUUUGAAAACAUGAUCCAACUAUUUACUGUCUACAGGGAUUCGUCUUAGAUCCAAAGACACAAAUAAGUUGAAAGUGAAACACAAC
rnacentral:lncRNA from 1 species